UACGAAGGGGGCUAGCGUUGUUCGGAAUUACUGGGCGUAAAGCGCACGUAGGCGGAUUGUUAAGUUAGGGGUGAAAUCCCAGGGCUCAACCCUGGAACUGCCUUUAAUACUGGCAAUCUCAGUCCGAGAGAGGUGAGUGGAAUUCCGAGUGUAGAGGUGAAAUUCGUAGAUAUUCGCAAGAACACCAGUGGCGAAGGCGGCUCACUGGCCCGGUACUGACGCUGAGGUGCGAAAGCGUGGGGAGCGAACAGG
rnacentral:rRNA from 1 species